GACUCACACUGCACCUCAGUAGAUGCUGCACACCCCGCCUCCUAGUGACAUGCAGGAGGGGCGAAUGUGCACCGCACACUGUGGCUGCAUGUGAUGUGACAGUCAAGCUGGUUUCCAUGGUGAAGAUAAACCGCUCUCUGAAUCUCCAUCUCGCUCCUCCCUCCUUCCAUCUUAAACGUCGACCCCAUGACCUUUGUUUCCUGGCGUUGACCUCCCUGACACCUGACCUGCCGAAAAACAAACAGGCCAACGAGGCCGCCUCUCUCUGAGGCAGCAGAGGCACAGCGUAGCAGGCGUGCUCACCAUUCAGACAGCCCAGUCCGAUUGGCUGCCUGCCCUGCCAGCCGUCGUCUCGGCCAAUGGGAGCAGAACAGACGGCAGACACCUGACCCUCGGGAAAGCCGUGUCGGAAGAGAGGCCGCAGAGCAUCGGAGCUCGUUCCAGCUACAGAUCCGGAGACGCCCCGGUCACAGCCGCCUCUCUGGACAGCGGCCUGAGCGGCAGCGCCUACAGCCUGCUGGACGAAGAAGGAGAGACAAACGAGGUGGACAGUGCCAUCUUCCAGGUGCCUCGAUUUGGAAAGAUCCCCAAUGGCACAGACGCGAUGAAAUCCUCACUUGGACUCGGUGACACCGAAGGUUAGACAUUUCC